CUAAAAACUUAGCUUAAUCUCUUCUAAUGUACAACCCUUAAAACCCGCAACUAAGUAAAACAUUUUCUACAUUUAGUAAAGGCGAUCAAAAAAUGUCUUAAAGCUAUACAAUUAGUACCGCAAGGGAAAAGUGAAAUAGCAAUGAAAAACCUCAAGCACAUAAAAGCAGAGAUUCAAUCUUGUACCUUUUGCAUCAUGGUUUAACUAGUCUAAUCAAGCAAAAUGAUUUUUAAGUCUGACCCCCCGAAACUAGGUGAGCUACUUAAAAACAGCCUUAUGGGCGAACCCGUCUCUGUUGCAAAAGAGUGGGAAGAUUUUUAAGUAGGGGUGAUAAGCCUAUCGAACCUAGAGAUAGCUGGUUAUUCAGGAAAAGGAUUUAAGUCCUACCUUAGGUUUUUCGUAUAUUUAAAUACACCUCUAACCUUAAGAGUCAUUCAAAUAAGGUACAGCCUAUUGAAACAGGAUACAACCUCAUCU
rnacentral:rRNA from 1 species